CAGCAGCCACGGUAAUACAGAGGGUGCAAGCGUUAAUCGGAAUUACUGGGCGUAAAGCGUGCGCAGGCGGUUUGUUAAGACAGAUGUGAAAUCCCCGGGCUCAACCUGGGAACUGCAUUUGUGACUGGCAAGCUAGAGUGUGGCAGAGGGGGGUGGAAUUCCGCGUGUAGCAGUGAAAUGCGUAGAUAUGCGGAGGAACACCGAUGGCGAAGGCAGCCCCCUGGGCCAACACUGACGCUCAUGCACGAAAGCGUGGGGAGCAAACAGGAUUAGAUACCCCCGUAGUCCCUGUCUCUUAUAC
rnacentral:rRNA from 1 species